rnacentral:lncRNA from 1 species
ACGGGGAAUCACAGCUUCUGCACAUCCCCGCCCCCCACCCUGCAAAGCCCGCCAACGCGCGGGUGCUCCAGGCUUAAGCCCGGCGGGAGCCCGUAGAUCGACCCUUCACCCCCAAGCUAAGCCCCUCACGAACGCCCUGCCCCAAUUUCCCCCGAGGCUGCGCCGCCCCGCGGACCUCUCCCCCAAUGUUGCAGCUCCGCGGACCCCUCCCAAACCCCCUGCCCCAAACUCCCCCGAGGCUGCGCGGCCCCGCGGACCCCAGACUCCCCAAUGCUGCAGGGCAGCGGGGGAGGGGGGAUCAGUCCUCCCCAGUGUGCCGGGACCUUCCGGGUCCCUCCCACCCCGAUUCACUCCGGUGCUCCAGGGCCCCCGCAGGUCGCCCCCAGUUGUUCCUAGUCUGCCAACACUCAGCGCUCCGCGGGUUUCCCUCCCCCCGCCCGGGCCGCACAUCCGACCGUGUCCCAACCACAGUGCUGUUCCCCUCCCACCCCGUCCCGGUGGGACCCAGCCCCCCAACCGGGUCGCCCGUGGAGAGCCCGAGAGCGUGACCCCUCCUCCCCCUCUCCGCGCCCCGCCACUCACCGGGCUGUCAGUCGCGCGUGCAGGGCCGCCCCCCCGCCGUGGGUGCCCCGCCCCCCGGCUCCCACUAGGCUCAGCGGCCCCCGCUCCCGGCCCCGCCAGCCACCUGCCGUGCCCGGGCUCGGACAAUCCGUUUGGGAGACAAGUAUGUAAACUGAGAGGCUGGACUUCCUGGGUCCCCCAGUCAAGCUGACUGGCUAUGGAAGGAGUUCAUGCAUUGGAGAGGAUGGCUACCAUCAUGGAGAGCAGAUAUCUCCUAGUAAGAUUCAUUCUCCUCCUGGUAAAUGCCUUCUCCAAGAAAAGCUGGAAUAGUUUUCAGAGAUUCUUUCUCCUGGCACCAAAAAGUUCCCACUAAAGGACCCAGAAUCUGAGAACUUCUCAAACCUACAAGAUGGUCUCCCAGCUUGGACAUGUCCACCUUGGGACUCAUGCACAGUCUCCUAAAAUCUGAGAAGUAACAACAGGUUUGGGCUCAUCUGCAUAGGAUAUGGAUCUUAGCCGCCAUAUGCUUAUAGCCUAAUGGGAUAGGGAGUGGAAGGAGUUGCCUUUUCUCCAGCCUUGGAAAGUCCCAGAGAUAUUUGAGGUCACCUUGAAGGGUCAAAAGAAGGGAGAGUCUCGAUUUUUGGAAGGCUGAGUCAUUGGCUUUUCCUGCUCAGCAGCCAAUGCAGAGAUUGCCUCAUCUUGUCCAAGUGAAAAGCCCCAUCAAAGCUAAAUCUCACUUACACGAACUGAUGCUGAGUGAAGUGAGCAGGACCAAGAAAACAUUGUACACGGUCACAGGAUUAUGGGAUGAUCAAGUGGGAUGGACUCGGCUCUUCAACAAUGAGGUGAUUCAGAACAAUUCGAACAGACCUGUGAUGGAGAGAGCCAUCUGCAACCAGAGAGAGGACUGUGGGGACUGAAUGCAGAUCACAACAUAGUAGUUUCACCUUUUUUGUUAUUUUUUGUUUUGUUGCUUGCUUGCUUGCUUAUUUUUUCCUUCUCAUUUUUUCUCUUUUGAUCUGAUUUUUCUUAUGCAGCAUGAUAAAUGUGGAUAUAUGUUUAGAAAAAUUGUACAUGUUUAAUUUAUAUUGGAUUACUUGCCAUCUAGGAGAGAGGGGUUAGGGGAAGGAAGGUAGAAAAAUUUGGAACACAAGGUUUUGUGAGGGUGAAUGUUGAAAACUAUCUUUGCAUGUAUUUUGAAAAAUAAAAAGCUAUUAUUUAAAAAAAAAAAAAGCUAAAUCUCACACAAAGGGUCAGCUGAAAUCAGAAAUGACAUCUCUUUUCAUGCUCUAUUCAAUUUCCAGUUAUAGUGGAAAUAGCAAAAAUGGGAGGGGAGAGAAUAUGGAGAGUAUAGAACUAUGGUUUAAAAACUGGUUCCACCCAUGUACUGGGACCACGAGCAAGUCAUUUAAUUGUUUAAGUUUACUCAGCUAUUGAAUGAGGAUUUUAAUACUUUAAUUUCCUUUAUCACAGGAUUGUUGAGGGAAAGGGUUUUGUAACUUGUAGACCACUAUAUAAAAGUAAGUUCCAAUCCACCAUUCAAAAGUUCCCACCAUAAAUCCUUUAUGUUAGUAUUCAGAGUCGGCAUUCUCUCAGCCAGUCAGAAAUGAUAUCUUCCUCUCCCUGCAGGAAAUCAGUGUGUGUGUAUGGGAUGUUUCUGGGGGCAAAUGGGGGGGUCUCACACCCACCUAUCGGAGUGAAUAUUACAUGUUUCAAAAGAAUUGGGAUUGAAGCAAGAAUGCAGUCAUUGGAAAUAAUUUGGGUGUGGAUGUUCAUCUCAUCUAAAUGGACCUUCUGAAACUUCCUACCUACUGCAGAGAUUAUUUCUAAAUAGAUGGCGGUCUGAAUUGUGCUUAAGCACAUUCGGGGGUGAUGCUUCCUAGUUUACUCAUUGCAUCGUUGUAUGACUCUGCUAAUUAAAAAGUUCCUGUUGAUCUUCAUCUUUUCUACUUAUUACCCCUAAUUCUGUCUUAUGAGACAAAUGAAAACCCUUUAGAUCUUUGAAGACAACUUGUACAUGUCCCUACACAUUCUUACCCCAAAACGGUACUACUAGCUUCUAAUUUAAGAUUCCAAGGCAUUGUUAUUGUAUUGGAAUUGUUAUUAUUAUUAUUCAUUUGUGCCUGACUUUUUGUGACCCCAUGGAUCAUAGCAUUCUAAUACUGUCUGUGGAGUUUUCUUGGGAGAAAUAUGGAGUGAUAUAUCAUUUCCUUCUUCAGCUCAUUUACAGGGAAGAAACUGAGGGUUGAUGACUUGCCCAGCUAAUAAGUAUCUCAAUCUGGAUUUGAACUCAGGUGUUUCUGACUCUAGGACAAUAGCUGAUACAAUGGUUUAGAAUCGUGAGUUCAAAUUCAGAUACUGCUUGGCUGAGUGAUCCUGAGCAAGUCGCUUUAUCUUGCUUGUCUCAGUUUUCUCAUCUGUAAAAUGGGCUGGAGAAGAAAAUGGCAAACCACUCUAGGAUCUUUGUCAAGAAAUCCCCAAAUAUGGUCACAAAGAGUUAAAUAUGACAGAUUCUAGGUCUGACACUAUCCACUGCACCUUCUAGCUGCCUGGAGUACCAGGGUUCAAAUCCUCCCUUUGGCAUUUACAUUAUGACCUUUACUCUGGC